rnacentral:misc_RNA from 1 species
CUGCACUCCGAGUUCAAGGGACGCCCCCCUCUCCCCAGCCACCGACCACCACCGCCACCGCCGCGUAGUUAAAAAGCAUUUUCUCUGGUCUUUGCGACACAGCGGCCCUCUCUCCGGCUCCUGCUUCUGCGCCGCGUGUGUGCGUGCGCUUACCGCGAGCGCACCGUGCUCUUUUACCCAGCCUUCUGUUUUUCGCCUACGACGGCUCCCCUUAGCCGGCUGUGUUGGCUCUUCUCGCACCGCCUCGCUCUCUCCUUCCUUCUCGCCCUCUGCAUCUCUGUUAGCAAUCAUGUCCGUCGCCAACGCUGCGUACCUCCCGCUCAUCGGCAGCUGUUUGACAGCAGGAGAGCAGACGGCGCUGCAGUGCUCGCUUCCACUCCUCUCUCAGCGCUACCGCGGUACACCGAUGAAGCUGUGGGGUAAGGUCACUGGUAUCAAGGCAAAUUACUGGGUCGCGCAGGCUUUCCCGAACGGCGAGUUCGCGCCGGCUGUCAGCUUCUACAGCAUCGAUGGUGGAAACACGUGGACGAUGCUCUCGGAGCUGACGGAGGAGCAAGUGGCCCUGUGCGAGGCCCUCCGCGGCCCCUACCAAGGGGUACCAAGCUACGAAUAUAUGAUGCGUCAAGAUCUCCCGGCCGAGACAGACGAGGCCGCCGUGACCAUGCCGACGCCGGACGGCAUUCUGAAGAAGGCCGAGGACGACAUCGCUGCCGCCCGCGCUGCUAGUGACGCCAACAGCGACGCCGACGAAUCCGAAGGCGAUGACGAGGAGCAGGACGACGAGGAAGAGGAGGACGAGGAGGACGCCGGUGCCGUGCCGGCGCCGCGCAAGCGUAUGGCGAAGUUCCGCAUCCUUAGCGUCACGGAGGCGAUGCGUUUAGCCCACUUUGUGCAGCUGCACGACGCGGACUGUCGCCUGACGGUGCGCGGCAUGUACGUCCUGCAAGACGGCGCGGCUGUCGGUGCGCGCAACAGUACCUUUGGCGGCCAGCCUCUGCACAACGCGAAGAAGCCGUCGUGCUACGUAAAGAUGGCGCGUGCGGGGACGGAGGAGCGGAACCGCAUCCUGUAUGGCCCCACGUACAACCCACACACGGACUACUUGAUGCCCAUCACGGACGAUGCCCCUGCGGGUGUGUGGUCGGUCAAGUACAACGCAACGGCGAACGUCGUGAGCGUACGCAACCUCUUCUACGAGGGCUCCCUCUUCUGGUACCGUCCGGGCACGCUGGAGUGCGGCCAGGUCUACUGCGGCCCCGGCGAGCGGAACUUCGACCUGUGCUUCAUGCUGUAGCCGGCUGUUGGUGGGGCUUGAUGCGAAGGCGCUCGCAGGCGGCGUCGGAGAUGGCGAGAGGGGCGACGGAGGCCGGUUCGGUGAGAGCCACACCCCACUGCAGGGAAAGGUGUGGCCCUUAACGGGCGCACGCGACGAAAAGGAAGGCAGAGGUCGGUGGGACAGCACGGAGUGCCCGCUGAAGUGUGCGCCUGAACACUUGAACAGCUCGUUUCCCGCCAAGGCUGCCGCUCUGUUCAUGAGGGACAUCGUCCCGGAUGCGCAGCGUAGUUCACAUCAUAUUACUUUCCAUACACCUGCCUCGUCUUGUCUCUCUGACCUUUCUCCGUCUCCGCCGCGCCCUCGGGAGUGGUGCUUGCCUGAGUGUGCGAGAUGUACAUAAUAUCUGUUCGAGAGGGAAGACAGGAAGCCGAACGGCGCGGCUCGGCACACCACCUUCACCUGCUCACCUUGGCUCUUCCCCCUCCCAUCCCGUAGCCACUGCCGUAGCUGCUGCUGCGCUGAACGGCUAGCGCUUUCCCGGUUGGGCGACGUUGCGGUUGUCUGCAUGCUUUGUUGAGCACGUACUUCGCCUCGGGGGCUGAGUGGGUGUGUCUGUGUGUGAGCGGCUCCUGGGGCUUGGUGCUUCCUUCUGUCCUUCUUUCUUUCAUGUACCGGUGGGCGCCCGUACCCCGACGCGCUUCAUCUUCUCCCUUCCAUCGUUGCAGGGUUGCGUUGUAGCGGUGCCCACCCCCUCCCCCUUGGCGCACAUGACGUCACUGCCCACCACCAGGCGAGGCAUCAAGAAGGCCACAGUCACUGCAUCGCACAUAUGGGGCGAAGGUGAGUGAAGGCCAUUGUGACUGACCGCUCCUUUCGGAGUCUCUUAAACGCACACACACACACAGAGCGAGCAAGCGGGAUCAUGCGUGCGUGUGUGUGUGGACGCGUCAACGUCUACUCCAUCUCUCUUCUCCACAUGGAUACCCGAACACGUGCGCAUCGGUGCACGCCAGUGGGGGUGGGGUGGGGGAGGGGGACAACGGCCGCUCCGAAGUCACAACCACGGCGGCCUCCUUUUUCAUUCCAAGGGGGAGGGUGCUCUCAUACACGAUUGGUGCCCGCUUAUUCGUUUUAUGGGGUAAGGGGAAAGACCCUCCACCUACGAACGUACUUCCUGCGCGCCCGCCCGCUCUGCCUCCCUCACGCACAAUCCCCAUCUCUCUCUCUCACCGCCUCUCGCACACACAGAGGCAGUCGGCUUCCCCCCUCCCCCCCCCCCCCCCCCCCAAGCCACGCUCCUUUCCUUGACCGCACACACGCACACACGACAGCAUCGUUCGCUUGCAUGCCGACACGCCCCUCUUCCCUCUUCUUCGUAUCUCAG